CAGUGGGGAAUAUUGCACAAUGGGCGCAAGCCUGAUGCAGCCAUGCCGCGUGUAUGAAGAAGGCCUUCGGGUUGUUAAAGUACUUUCAGCAGUGAGGAAGGUGGGUAUGUUAAUAGCAUAUUCAUUUGACGUUAGCUGCAGAAGAAGCACCGGCUAACUCCGUGCCAGCAGCCGCGGUAAUACGGAGGGUGCGAGCGUUAAUCGGAAUUACUGGGCGUAAAGCGCAUGCAGGUGGUUUGUUAAGUCAGAUGUGAAAGCCCGGGGCUCAACCUCGGAAUUGCAUUUGAAACUGGCAAACUAGAGUACUGUAGAGGGGGUAGAAUUUCAGGUGUAGCGGUGAAAUGCGUAGAGAUCUGAAGGAAUACCGGUGGCGAAGGCGGCCCCCUGGACAGAUACUGACACUCAGAUGCGAAAGCGUGGGGAGCAAACAGGAUUAGAUACCCUGGUAG
rnacentral:rRNA from 1 species